UGGACAGAAAGACCCUAUGAAGCUUUACUGUAACUUGAAAUUGAAAUUGGACUUUAUUCGCGCAGUAUAGGUGGGAGGCGUUGAUUAUAAUCUUGGGGGAUUAUUGGAGCCAUCAGUGAGAUACCACCCUUGUAAUGUUAGAUUUCUAACUUUGAAUCAUUAUCUGGUCAAAGAACAGUUUCAGGCGGGCAGUUUGACUGGGGCGGUCGCCUCCUAAACGGUAACGGAGGCGUACAAAGGCUUCCUCUGAACGGUUAGAAAUCGUAUCUAGAGUGUAAAGGCAUAAGGAAGCUUGACUGUGAGACCUACAAGUCGAGCAGGGACGAAAGUCGGUCUUAGUGAUCUGACGGUACUGAGUGGAAAGGCCGUCACUCAACGGAUAAAAGUUACUCUAGGGAUAACAGGCU
rnacentral:rRNA from 1 species